rnacentral:rRNA from 1 species
AGUGGGGAAUCUUGGACAAUGGGCGCAAGCCUGAUCCAGCCAUGCCGCGUGAGUGAAGAAGGCCUUAGGGUUGUAAAACUCUUUCGCCGGAGAAGAUAAUGACGGUAUCCGGAGAAGAAGCCCCGGCUAACUUCGUGCCAGCAGCCGCGGUAAUACGAAGGGGGCUAGCGUUGUUCGGAAUUACUGGGCGUAAAGCGCACGUAGGCGGGUCUGUAAGUAGGGGGUGAAAUCCCCGGGCUCAACCCGGGAACUGCCUUCUAGACUGCAAGCCUGGAGGUCAGGAGAGGCGAGUGGAAUACCGAGUGUAGAGGUGAAAUUCGUAGAUAUUCGGUGGAACACCAGUGGCGAAGGCGACUCGCUGGACUGAUACUGACGCUGAGGUGCGAAAGCGUGGGGAGCAAA